CUUAGAUGCAUGAUUUUUUUUAUUAGUUGUUAGUGGCUUUGAACUAGCUGUCAGAUAACUGCGAGUACUCUCAGAUCUGUUCAUUGCGUCUUUUUGUGUCGGGAUGUAUAAGUACCAGGCCACGUCUACUUGUAUUUUUGUCCAUCUGAUGAGUUAAGCCUUUUUCAACUGAUUUUUAUAGUUCGUUCUUAUGUUGUACUGUUAUACCACUGUCCCAGGUUAGGGGGAGGGUUGGGAUCCCGCUAACAUGUUUAACCCCGCCACAUUAUUUAUGUAUGUGUCUGUCCCAAGUCAGGAGCCUGUAAUUCAGUGGUUGGCGUUUGUUUAUGUGUUACAUAUUUGUUUUUCGUUCAUUUUUUACAUAAAUAAGGCCGUUAGUUUUCUCGU
rnacentral:lncRNA from 1 species